UGGGUGGCAUUAACAACAGACAUUUAUUUUCUCACUGUUCUGGAAGCUGGAAUUAUGAGAUCAAGGUGCCAGAAGAUUCAGUUUUUGAUGAGGGCUCCCUCCUUGGCUUGAAAACGGCUACCUUCUCACUGUGUCCCGACGUGGUGGAGGUUGAGAGUGAGGUCUCUGGGGUCUUUUCUUAUAGGGGUACUGAUCCCCUCAUAAAGGCCCCACCCUUAUGACCUAAUCACCUCCAAAGGCCCCACCUCCAAAUACCAUCACACUGGGGGUUAGGGCUUCAACAUAGGAAUUUUGGGAGACAUGGUUCAUUUCAUAGCAUAUGGGAAAGGCUGAGGGAAGAGCAGGUUUAGGAGAUGAGUACAAGAGCUCAGGGCCUCUGAUCUGGACAUGGGCUGAACGAGGCAUGGGAGAGUCUGUGUCACUGCUGAGCCUUAGCUUGAACAGUAAUAAAGAGGCCAAGGACUGCUGGGGUAAAUGAGAAAUGAAAUAGGUAACGUGGUUCUCCAGAUACCCAGAGCCAGAAAAUGCUGAAUCAGAAACACAAAAUGUCAGGAAAGUGAGAGUAGGAGUGCGCCUGAGUGAGCCUCAAGAAACCCCUAGCAGGUGAGGUGGAAGGAACCCCAUCACUGGGAUGAGGAGGGGAGAUCAGGGAAGACUCCCCUUAGCCUGAGGAUGGCUCUGAGCAAACACGUUGGAGCCUGGAUAAUACCCCACUGAACACUGCAACUAUCGGUUAAAGGAGCCAUUGGAGUAAGAAUUGAUAGGUCAGCGGGAGCAAAACUCAACCAUUCCUGAUUAAUUAGUAUUACCGUGGCCUAUGUAUUUCUCUAGUUCAGAUCUUCAUCAGAUCACACUCCAGCUAUGACAGUGAUUGUCCAAGCUCCAUUCCCUGUCUCUCCUCCCAGACUAGGACAUCUUCUUCUUCUGGGUUCCCACAUCAUUCUAGGUUCCAGUGGCACUUUUCUUACUUGAUGCAAGGAUGUGGGAUUUGGGAACAUGGUUUCAUCUCUCCAACCACAAUACCAGCAACUUUCAGGCAACUGUCUGAUGCCACACAGCAAAUCUGCCCCAGGGCAGAGGGGGCAGUAGGUAGGCAGUAACUGGGAGCACAGGCAGAGAGGCUGGCAUGAAGAAACCUGCCCAUGGGAAGCAGGGCCAAUGCCACCUAGGCUGGGUUCAAGGAUGUGGCCAAAAAAGCAGAACUUCCGACAAACUUGGAAAACUAGUCAGGUUACUGAAACAGGAACUUAAGCUUCUCAGCAAAUUAGACGUAACAUAUAAACUGGAAAAAUCAGUGAACUUGAAGAUAGAGCAACAGAAAUGAUCUAAAGAAAUAUAAAGAGAGAAAAGAAGGCUGGGGGACAGAACAGAGCACCCAAGCAUUGUGAGACAACAUAAAAUGGUCUAACAUAUGUAUAGUUGGGAUCUCAUUAAGAAAAGAGAGCAGAGUAGAACUAUUUGAAGAGAUAAUGACCAAGAACUUGUUAAAGAAAGGCAACAUACCACAAGUCCAAGAUACUCAGAGAACCUUAAUCAGAAUUUUUAAAAAAAUCCACCUAGAUGUGUCAUGAUCAAACUGCUAAAAACCAAAGAUAAAUUCUGAAGACAACCAAGGAAAACAGAAUGCCGGUGUCCCCCUCACCAAAGCAUGUCUAAAUGCUUGUGAAGAAAGUAUGUUCUCCUGGGACAGAGUGAAGGAGGGUAUGUGGGGAACACAUGUGUAAGCCCACCCCAACAUUAUUAUGCCUCUCCAGGUAUUAAGAUUCCUUGCUUUAUAUCAAGGAACUUCUGUCACCUUAGCUUUAUUUAGUAUAGGAUGCCAUUCAGUUCAGGUUUCAUUUCAGAUAACCCACUGAGUGAACAGAACCAUACCCAGAUGAUCCAGCCAGUACUUUGGAUCCAGAAUCCAUAUUGAUCAAUAUGGCCCAAUUGAAAAUGAUCUUCUUUCCUCCGUGAUCAGCACCUUACUAUACAUUUCUCAGAUUUCUGCCAAUAAAUAUUAAAAAACAAAUGGCACCUA